GGAGUACAGUGGCACAAUCUUGGCUCACUGCAACCUCCGCCUCCCGAGUUCAAGCCAUUCUCCUGCCUCAGCAUCCUCAGUAGCUGGGACUACAGGCGUGCACCAAUGUGCCCAGCUAAUUUUUGUAUUUUUUGUAGAGACGGGGUUUCACCAUGUUGGCCAGGAUGGUCUCAAUCUCUUGACCUCGUGAUCCACCUGCCUUGGCCUCCCAAAGUGCUGGGAUUACAGGCGUGAACCACCACGCCCAGCCCUACUCAAAAAGAUUUUAAUAUAAAUAUUUGAGAGACAAUAAAAGUAUACACUUGAACUUUUGCUAGGAUGAAGUAGGGGACAUUCAACAAAACAUUUUGUUGAGGAAAAUUCUAUAAACCAAGUCUUGAUGCUACUUGUGUAUCUAAAUAAGAUUAAAAAGUCUGACAUCAAGUGGCUAAAAAUUCCAUGGUAAAACUAAUAAAUUUACAAUUAAUAAUACUACUAUUAUGUAACUAGUGUUAGGUAAUGUAAUAAAUAAAGUAUAUAUAUACAAAGCAAGUAGAUAAUAAUUUGGUGAAAGAAGAUUAAGUUGGGAUGUUGAGGUGCUGAAAUUUUCUAGACAAUGCAUAAAAUUUUACAUUAAGAAUGAUUAUUAAGUUGAUCUAUUCAAACAAAAUAUUUUUAAAGAGCCAACCAGUUACUUCAUAAGGUGUAGACACUGAAUUUCAAUAUCAGGCAUCGAGAUCCUUUAUCACAUUCUUUUUUAGCUGAAGUCAAAAUAUUUCCCUAUUGAACUGAAUUUAAAUUACCUCAUACAUAACUUCUAAUGUUGUUUUUAAUAUUCAAAAGUUCUGUUCCUUGCAAGACUGGUAUGUGUGUGCACAUGCUCUUAUAUGUGUGUGUCUGUGUGUGUAUCUGUGUAAAUGCAAUGAAAAGAACUAUAGAAGUUCUUUCUAAUCUAAUCUGAAUUUAGUUCCAAUACCUACCAUUCUGCAUCAGCAAAUAAAUUACUUUCAUUUUUAUGGUAGAGAGAAUUCAUGUUUUAUGGGUUAUAACCUGGAACUCAGUUGAAAAUCUUCACAUUAAGGUAUCUGGAUCCCUCAUGUCUACAAAAGGCAAGGCUAAGUUUACAUGAUUUUCCAGCAUAGAAGGGCAUCCCAGUGGGCGUGGUGGGUGGCUUCUCACACUUUCUAGCCUGCACAGGAUGGACUCUGCUGCCGUCCAUGGCUCCAGACAUCCAAAACACUGGAUUUUCUCUGUCAGUCCUAUUGUGCCAAGUUAGCACUGCAAGCCACUAUUUAUUUUAAAAAGUUGAUAAUGACCGUAGUCACGGGGAGUGCUUUCAGUGAUAAACAGACUUGAAAAAUGCCAUUUCCCUAGUUGUCAUUUUUGUCUUUUCAGUAUUACAUAAUAGCAAGCAUAUUCUAGGGAACGAAAAUGGCUAGGUAUUUGUAAUAUAUGUCACUCAGUGUUUCCAUUCCCAUCAUGGUGUGGAAUGUUUAAUUUCUAAACCCUAAGAGCUUAAUGACUACUGGUUAUUUUCUCUUCUCUACAAACAUUACCUGUUCCAGUUGCAGUUCAUGGAAUUCUGCCCAUAUAAUAAACAGUAAUAGAUGAAUCCCCCUCAGGGUAUUCUCUGUUUCUUGGUUGAACAGAUAAUUUCUAAGUUACUUUUCCACUUAAGGUAAUAUGAUUUUAUUUGGAUACCAGGGCUUGCAAAUGUGGCCUUGCAAAGUUUUUUAAUUGCAGUUAGUUUUCUAUAGUAAUUCCUUUUAGCAAGGCAUGCCCUUAUCUCAAUGCUUAUCCUUACCCUCACCAUCAAAAUGCCCUCAGAGUUACUAAUUGAAGUACUAUUGGACAGAAUAUUACAUUAAUACAGAGAAGAUUAUCCUUCAGGAAAGUGACAAGACUGAGGGAAAAUUAAGAAUAGUAGAUACUAGUGAAGAAUUUAUAUCUAGGUUGUAAUGCUGUCCUAGAAUGUCCUGAUCUUAUAAUUCAAUACACUAUGCACACAUAUUUCAUUUUAUAACAUAAAUGUGUGCUAAAACAUUGUGAUUAAAUAUCCAUUUCAAUAUCAAUAACUGAAUGGGAAAAAAUCACCGCUGAUUUUAGAAAUUUCAAGGUUGUUCCUUCAGCAAAGCAGAGAAUCCCUUUAUGUUAAUAAUGUCUGUCAACCUUAUUAUCUAAAAUGUUGUUUUCCCCUGCAUGAAAUUUUCUGUACAUGAAAAAUACUUGUUCUAUAUCAAUUUUUAAAGUGAAAUACUUGAUUUGUAUUGUUAAGUGUAACAUUGAACAGUAUUCAAAAGUGGACUUGUUCUAUUGCCCUUCUGGGUGUGGCUAGAAGAUGGUAUUCAGCCACAUCCUGCUACACCGUAAUAAAACACAUGCAUAUUCCAAAUUCAAA
rnacentral:lncRNA from 1 species